rnacentral:tRNA from 1 species
GCCCGGGUGGCUCAGUGGGUUGAGCAUCCGGCUUCUGCGCAGGUCAUGAUCUGAGUUCGUGAGUUCGAGUCCCAUGUCGGGCU